CUUAAMACAUGCAAGUCGAACGAUGAAGCUGUGCUUGCACAGUGGAUUAGUGGCGAACGGGUGAGUAACACGUGAGUAACCUGCCCUCCACUUUGGGAUAACUCCGAGAAAUCGGGGCUAAUACUGGAUAUGACCUUGGCCCGCAUGGGUUGUGGUGGAAAGUUUUUCGGUGGGGGAUGGGCUCGCGGCCUAUCAGUUUGUUGGUGAGGUAGUGGCUCACCAAGGCGAUGACGGGUAGCCGGCCUGAGAGGGCGACCGGCCACACUGGGACUGAGACACGGCCCAGACUCCUACGGGAGGCAGCAGUGGGGAAUAUUGCACANUGGGCGAAAGCCUGAUGCAGCGACGCCGCGUGGGGGAUGACGGCCUUCGGGUUGUAAACCUCUUUCAGCAWGGAAGAAGCGAAAGUGACGGUACUUGCAGAAGAAGCGCCGGCUAACUACGUGCCAGCAGCCGCGGUAAUACGUAGGGCGCAAGCGUUGUCCGGAAUUAUUGGGCGUAAAGGGCUUGUAGGUGGCUUGUCGCGUCCUGCCGUGAAAACUCGAGGCUUAACCUUGGGCGUGCGGUGGGUACGGGCAGGCUAGAGUGCGGWAGGGGAGACUUGGAAUUCCUGGUGUASCGGUGAAAUGCGCAGAUAUCAGGAGGAACACCGAUGGCGANGGCAGGUCUCUGGGCCGUUCCUGACACUGAGA
rnacentral:rRNA from 1 species